CCUACGGGCGGCAGCAGUGGGGAAUAUUGGACAAUGGGGGGAACCCUGAUCCAGCCAUGCCGCGUGUGUGAAGAGGGCCCUCGGGUUGUAAAGCACUUUCAGUGAGGAAGAACGCCUGGUGGUUAAUACCCAUCAGGAAAGACAUCACUCACAGAAGAAGCACCGGCUAACUCCGUGCCAGCAGCCGCGGUAAUACGGAGGGUGCGAGCGUUAAUCGGAAUUACUGGGCGUAAAGCGCGCGUAGGUGGCUUGAUAAGCCGGUUGUGAAAGCCCCGGGCUCAACCUGGGAACGGCAUCCGGAACUGUCAAGCUAGAGUGCAGAAGAGGAAGGUAGAAUUCCCGGUGUAGCGGUGAAAUGCGUAGAGAUCGGGAGGAAUACCAGUGGCGAAGGCGGCCUUCUGGACUGACACUGACACUGAGGUGCGAAAGCGUGGGUAGCAAACAGGAUUAGAUACCCCUGUAGUC
rnacentral:rRNA from 1 species